AUGGGACAUCGGCACCACAGGCGGUGGCUUUACCUGCUACACCACAGCACCGGUUUGGGCAGCUGCACCUGCUGCUCCCCCGUGCCGCCCCCUGUGCUGACGGACAGGUCCCAGCUCACCCCUCCCACGCCUGCCAGCCGGGCAGCGUUUCUGACUGCGUUUCCAUUCCCGCGCCAGCUCUGCCCACGUGCAGGCGUCCAGGCCAGCCUCGGGCUGCAGCUGCGGCGUCUUCCCGGUGCAGGCUGCCGCCCUCUGGAAGCCCCGGCUCCGGUGCCCCCCCGCCUUUCGUCCACAGCCGGGAGUGGGGCACCAGCAGGCAGCCAGGUUACUCCAUCGCUGGGGCUUUGGGAGGGCAUCGUUUGCCGCCCUCCGUCUUGUGAGCGGGGUGGGAGCGGCACCCCCACCACGGGACGCCAAGUGCCCAUCUGCUCGGCCAGGAGGAGGAGCCGGUCAGGAAGCCGCCGCCGGUACCCCUGGGUGUCGGCUCAGCCGUCCUGGUUCCUGACGGAAUGGCCUGGCAGUGCAGGGCUCAGCCGGGUCCCUGGCCUGAGCAGGGGGCCCCCGGGUCACCGCCUGGGGCGCCUUCCUGCAUUGCCACACCCCUGGCACGAGACCAGGACCCGCCCCCCACUCCAACGGCGCUUCCUUGCCACCCCUCGCCGCCCUCCCGCAGCUCCAGGCCCAAGUCCCCAGCACAGAGGGCCCGCCUGUGUCCCUGGCUCGUCCCUGCGGCCAGCCGGGAGCCAGUGGAUCUCCUGGGACCCUCAGCCAGGAGGACCCCGGGGCCCAGGGUGGAGGACAGGCGCCAUCUGUCCCCAGGCCCCGGGCGGCCAUGUGGGAAGGCCCAGCCCCUGCGGUUCCCAGUUCCCGCUCUGUUUAUGUCUCUCAAGUGACAGAGAGACCCAGAGCGGAGGGAAGGCCCUGGGGACCGGGGCCCCGCCCCUGUGGCCCCCAUGCGGCCCCCAGCCCCGUCCCAUGCCACGUCUCGGGCCCCACCCGGCCCCCACAGGUGGUCGCCAUUCCCUACUCACCUGGGAGGGAGUGGGAGUUCGCAGCCACAUCAGGCGGAAAAGGGACUUUGACGACCUUUGCCCCCUGACCUCUGCCUUCUGUCCACAGCCUGGACCCGGGUCUCAGAGGGGCUGGGAGGCGGGUGGGGCAGGUGAGGGAGCCCACGCCCCAGCACCCCCGCUCCUGAGCCCGGCGGGACUGUGGAGUGCCAUGCAAGCGAGAGAC
rnacentral:lncRNA from 1 species